UCAGACGAUGCGUCAUGCAUAUCAAUAAGCGGAGGAAAAGAAACUAACAAGGAUUCCCCUAGUAACGGCGAGUGAAGCGGGAAGAGCUCAAAUUUGAAAUCUUAAAGGGUUUCCCUUUACGAAUUGUAGUUUAAAGAAGUGUUUUCUGUUGAGGUUUUGGUAAAAGUUCUUUGGAAUAGGACAUCAUAGAGGGUGAGAAUCCCGUAUUUGACCUUUACUUUCAACUUUGUGAUACACUUUCAAAGAGUCGGAUUGUUUGGGAAUGCAGUCCAAAAUGGGUGGUAAAUUUCAUCUAAAGCUAAAUAUUGGCGAGAGACCGAUAGCGAACAAGUACCGUGAGGGAAAGAUGAAAAGAACUUUGAAAAGAGAGUUAAACAGUACGUGAAAUUGUCAAAAGGGAAGCGUUUGACACCAGUGUUGUUUUUCUGAAAAUCAAUUAAAGAACUGUUUAUGCUAAGUUGUUUAGACUUUAUCAGCUAACUGUUUAGUUUUGAGCUUUUCUUUAAUGCACUUUUCAGUUAACAAGUCAACAUCAAUUUCUUUUGCUGUAAAAAAGCUUGAGGAAGGUGGCUUGAGAUUCGUCUUAAGUGUUUAUAGCCUCUUGCCUAUGCAGUCGGAGAGAUUGAGGUCUGCAGCGUAGAUCCUUCGGGGCUAAAUGCAUUUGUGCUAAGUUAUAGCAUUUUAUAGACAACUUGUUGACUAUGAUUUGUCUUGUAGCUUACUCGCUUAUGUUAUUUUACCUACGCUUAGGAUGUUGAAGUCAUCGUAUCGCGC
rnacentral:rRNA from 1 species